UCCCCUGAGGGGGGCUCCCGCCCAGCCAUGCCAGAGCUGGCGAGGCUCCCAGGGAUGGCUCAGUGGGCUGCGACCUCACCCCAGAAACAGCCAGGAAACCGGAAUUAAAAUUAAUGGAAAACCUUGUCAAAGUCCGGGGGAUAGAAGAGCCACACCUCUGCCUUAACCUGCACGGAGCCUGCAGACGGGAUCCUGGGGAAUACAAAAGCCGCCAGAGGAAUCGGUUGCCCCCCAAACUAACUUGGAAUGACUUUGUGUCCAACAUCGGCGAAAUUUUCGCCCAUGCCAGGCGGCCCUCCCGAGGCAGAUGGCAGCCAGAGUUCAGGGGUUCGACUGUGCAUACGCCGCACACAGCUGAACAAGGUCAACUGACAUCCGGUCUGCAGCAGCUGGAGACCUCAAGUCAAAGUGAUGGGAAGAGAAGCAGGCAACAUCAAGGUGGACUGCUUCCUCCUAAGUUGCCAGAUGAAACCUUCACACUUCAACUAACCACAAAACCCUUUCUUCUUUUUCCUCCAGUCUGGCAUUGGCCUAAAAAAGUAACAACAUCAUCUGUAUCUUCCAGGCCAUUACUGGCGGGGGGGAGGGGGGCAGGUAAUCCAACUUCCAAUUGACUGUUGGACUUGCCAUGAUGCUCCUGCCUCAGUGUCUCUUGAACAAACUUAGCCCCUCUCUAUUCUGCCUGACUCUCUGAGCCUGGGGUCCAUUUUCCUGUCUCUGGUUAAGAACCCCAAACCCACGGAAUCUUGUGUCCAGGCUCUAUACAAAGACAGACAAACAGGCAGACAUAACCAGAAUAAAAUCUUCCCUGUGGUUUACAGACCCUUAAAUUUUACUGGACUCCAUGGCUGUACCAGAAGGCCCUCAUGAUUCAAAAUUAGCUCCCUCUGGCAGGUCCCAGCUUCCCUGAAAUUGGUAGGAAUAAAUGUAAAUGCAGCUAAGAUCAGGAACCUCUCCUUAACUCUUGAAAAUAUUACCGAAUCUGCUCAUAAAGCAGAGCUAUCCAACAAAACCCCUCAGACUCUGGCCAAAGCUGUUCUGAUAGCAUCACCCUUGAUUAUAUUUUAGCUAAAAAAGGAGGCAUCUGUGUGGCCACACCACCUGCUGCGCUUGGAUUAACAUUUCUGGGGAAGCGGAAACUCAGCUACAUAAAGUCACCGAACAAGCCACUUGGCUUAAGAGGGUAAUUCCUGGGCGCCUGGGUGGCUCAGUCGUUAAGCGUCUGCCUUCAGCUCAGGUCAUGAUUCCAGGGUCCUGGGAUCGAGUCCCACAUCGGGCUCCCUCCUCGGGGGGAAGCCUGCU